rnacentral:rRNA from 1 species
AGUGAGAAUGCCGGAAUGAGUAGCGAGAAUUAUGUGAGAAUCAUAAUGGCCGAAAGACUAAGGUUUUAGAAGGAAGGUUCGUCCGCUUCUAGUUAGCCGGGAGCUAAGGCGAGGCCGAAAGGCGUAGUCGAUGCACAUACGGUUGAGAUUCCGUAGCCACCUUAAAUUUAAACUAAGGGACACAUUGAAAGGGAAUAACCCAGGCGUUGGUUGACCUGGGCGUAAGGGAACGAAAAUAAGUAGUGAAGUAUUCUUGGACAGUGGCGAGAAAAGCUUAGUGUAUAUUAUUAGGGUGCCCGUACUGCAAACCGACACAGGUAGUCAGGAAGAGAAUUCUAAGGCCAUCGGGAGAAGCGUUGUUAAGGAACUCGGCAAAUUGACCCCGUAACUUCGGAAUAAGGGGUGCUCACGAGAGUGAGCCGCAGUGAAUAGGUCCAGGCAACUGUUUAUCAAAAACACAGCUCUCUGCUAAAUCGUAAGAUGACGUAUAGGGGGUGACACCUGCCCGGUGCUGGAAGGUUAAGAGGAGGAGUGCAAGCCCCGAAUCGAAGCCCCAGUAAACGGCGGCCGUAACUAUAACGGUCCUAAGGUAGCGAAAUUCCUUGUCGGGUAAGUUCCGACCCGCACGAAUGGUGUAAUGAUCUGGACACUGUCUCAACAACGCACCCGGCGAAAUUGUAGUACCGGUGAAGAUGCCGGUUACCCGCGGCAAGACGGAAAGACCCCAUGGAGCUUUACUGUAACUUAAUAUUGGGUCUCGGUACUUUAUGUACAGGAUAGGCGGGAGACUUGGAAACUAGCACGCCAGUGUUAGCGGAGUCAUCCUUGGGAUACCGCUCUUAAGGUAUUGAGAUUCUAACCUGCAGCCUUGAAUCAGGUUGGGGGACAUUGUUAGGUGGGCAGUUUGACUGGGGCGGUCGCCUCCAAAAGAGUAACGGAGGCGUUCAAAGGUUGGCUCAGCAUGGACGGAAACCAUGCUUUAGAGUAUAAACGCAUAAGCCAGCCUAACUGCGAGACUGACGGGUCGAGCAGUAACGAAAGUUGGAGUUAGUGAUCCGG